rnacentral:rRNA from 1 species
UCCGUAGAUAUAAGAAGGAACACCAAUGGCGUAGGCAGGUUACUGGACCAUUUCUGACACUGAGGCACGAAAGCGCGGGGAGCGAACCGGAUUAGAUACCCGGGUAGUCCACGCCGUAAACGAUGGAUACUAGCUGUUGGAGGUAUCGACCCCUUCAGUAGCGAAGCUAACGCGUUAAGUAUCCCGCCUGUGGAGUACGGUCGCAAGACUAAAACAUAAAGGAAUUGACGGGGACCCGCACAAGCGGUGGAUCGUGUUCUUUAAUUCGAUGAUAAACGACGAACCUUACCAGGACUUGACAUCCUUGGAAGCACUGUGAAAGCAGAGUGUGCCUUUUGGAACCAAGUGACAGGUGAUGCAUGGCCGUCGUCAGCUCGUGUCGUGAGAUGUUUGGUUAAGUCCAUCAACGAGCGCAACCCUUGUGAAUAGUUGUAGUUUUUCUAUUCAGACUGCCCCGGUAACGGGGAGGAAGGAGGGGAUGAUGUCAGGUCAGUAUUUCCCUUACGUCCUGGGCUAGAAACACGAUACAAUGGUUAGUACAAUGCGCAGCGAAGCCGCGAGGUGGAGCAAAUCGCAUCAAAGCUAAUCCCAGUUCGGAUUGGAGGCUGAAACUCGCCUCCAUGAAGUCGGAAUCGCUAGUAAUCGCAGAU